UGGCGGCCUUAGCGCGGUGGUCCCACCUGACCCCAUGCCGAACUCAGAAGUGAAACGCCGUAGCGCCGAUGGUAGUGUGGGGUUUCCCCAUGUGAGAGUAGGGAACUGCCAGGCA
rnacentral:rRNA from 1 species